rnacentral:misc_RNA from 1 species
CGGUGCAUAUACCAAUAGUCUGAUUGGGAUAAUCUGUGAGAUGAAAAAUCAAAAUCAUGGAUUGACUUUAUUUUGUGUCCAGAAGUUCUCACCAUUGACACUUCGUGCAGUAGUAAAUGCUAGCCUCUCAUUACUCUUCAAGUUCAGAUAAUCAACCUGCUCAGGGUCCAGAAGUAGAAGGCAGAAUGCAUCGACUGGACCAGCAGACGAAUCCAAUGAAUCAUGUGAUUGUUGUUCAUCUAGAGAAGGAAGCCCUGGAGUAGGCCCCAAAUAUUGUAGCCUUGAUCUCACAGAACCAGCAAACCAAGCUGUCUCUCUUUGCUUAAGUUUAUCGGGGUCAGAGUUUGAUGCAUCAAUCAUAUCGACUCUUCCAUGAAUUCUGAAUUGUUCCCAAGUUUCAGUGAAAUACCAGCACACCUCUGCAAAUGGGCAAUGCUUAAGAUCUUCAAUCUUGCAGCUUCGUGAGUCAGUAUUAAUUUGAAUCUUAUCAGUACCAUCUUGAAACCCUCUGAAGACGACAGUUCGAUUUGAGGGUCUUCCAUUGGAUCCAACAGUUGCGAGCUGAAAGUAGGUUGAAUGCUUAAGAUGGGAAUUGGAGUUGAUGGAGCUGAGUAGAAGCUGCUUCCAUGGUGCUGAGCUACUACUCAUUUUCGGCUAUUUUCCCAAAUUAUUGGAACAAUUUUUGCCUGCAAG